rnacentral:rRNA from 1 species
UGGGGAAUAUUGCACAAUGGGCGCAAGCCUGAUGCAGCCAUGCCGCGUGUGUGAAGAAGGCCUUCGGGUUGUAAAGCACUUUCAGCGAGGAGGAAGGUGGUGAACUUAAUACGUUCAUCAAUUGACGUUACUCGCAGAAGAAGCACCGGCUAACUCCGUGCCAGCAGCCGCGGUAAUACGGAGGGUGCAAGCGUUAAUCGGAAUUACUGGGCGUAAAGCGCACGCAGGCGGUUUGUUAAGUCAGAUGUGAAAUCCCCGGGCUCAACCUGGGAACUGCAUUUGAAACUGGCAAGCUAGAGUCUCGUAGAGGGGGGUAGAAUUCCAGGUGUAGCGGUGAAAUGCGUAGAGAUCUGGAGGAAUACCGGUGGCGAAGGCGGCCCCCUGGCACGAAGACUGACGCUCAGGUGCGAAAGCGUGGGGAGCAAAACAGGAUUAGAUACCCUGGUAGUCCACGCUGUAAAACGAUGUCGAUUUUGGAGGUUGUGCCCUUGAGGCGUGGCUUCCGGAGCUAACGCGUUAAAUCGACCGCCUGGGGAGUACGGCCGCAAGGUU